rnacentral:rRNA from 1 species
AAGUUCUGACGCGCAUGAAAGGUAUAACGACUGGGGAACUGUCUCAACGAGGAGCCCGGUGAAAAUGCGAGUCCAGCGAAGACGCUGGGUACCCGCAGCAAGACGAAAAGACCCUAGGAGCUUUACUGCAGUCUGGUAUUGAUUUUAUUUUUAAGAUGCGUAGCGUAGUGGGGAGGCUUUGAAGCCCUGAUUUCGGUUGGGGUGGAGCCGCCAAUGAAACACCCAUCUUCUUAAAAAUAUUAUCUAACCUUAAAGGCAAAAACUUUAGGGGACAGUGCUUGAUGGGCAGUUUUCGUGGGGCGCGAUCCUCCUAAAAGGUAACGGAGGAAUCUAUUAAGGUUGGCUAUCCGCCAAUGGAAACGGCGGAGGUAGUGCAAAGGCAUAAGCCAGCUUUAUAGCAAGGGAGACAUCCCGCGCUAUUGCGAAAGCAGAGCUUAGUGACCCGAUGCGUCGUUGUAGGAGGCGCAAAGACACUGGACAAAAGUUACCCUAGGGAUAACAGGCUGGUGGAGCCCGAAAGUCCAAAUCGACGGCUCCGCUCGGCACCU